UACGAAGGGAGCAAGCGUUGUUCGGAAUUACUGGGCGUAAAGGGCGUGUAGGCGGACUAACCAGUCAGGGGUGAAAUCCCGGGGCUUAACCUCGGAACUGCCUUUGAUACUGUUAGUCUAGAGUAUGUGAGAGGAAAGUGGAAUACCCAGUGUAGAGGUGAAAUUCGUAGAUAUUGGGUGGAACACCAGUGGCGAAGGCGACUUACUGGCUCGAUUCUGACGCUGAGGUGCGAAAGCGUGGGGAGCAAACAGG
rnacentral:rRNA from 1 species